rnacentral:rRNA from 1 species
UACGUAGGCAGCAAGCGUUGUUCGGAAUUACUGGGCGUAAAGGGUGCGUAGGCGGUUGUUUAAGUUUGGUGUGAAAUCUCCCGGCUCAACUGUGAGGGUGCGCCGAAUACUGAAUGACUAGAGUACGGGAGAGGAGAGUGGAAUUCCUGGUGUAGCGGUGAAAUGCGUAGAUAUCAGGAGGAACACCGGUGGUGUAGACGGCUCUCUGGACCGUAACUGACGCUGAGGCACGAAAGCGUGGGUAGCAAACAGG